rnacentral:rRNA from 2 species
UGCAGUCGAGCGAUGGAUUAAGAGCUUGCUCUUAUGAAGUUAGCGGCGGACGGGUGAGUAACACGUGGGUAACCUGCCCAUAAGACUGGGAUAACUCCGGGAAACCGGGGCUAAUACCGGAUAACAUUUUGAACCGCAUGGUUCGAAAUUGAAAGGCGGCUUCGGCUGUCACUUAUGGAUGGACCCGCGUCGCAUUAGCUAGUUGGUGAGGUAACGGCUCACCAAGGCAACGAUGCGUAGCCGACCUGAGAGGGUGAUCGGCCACACUGGGACUGAGACACGGCCCAGACUCCUACGGGAGGCAGCAGUAGGGAAUCUUCCGCAAUGGACGAAAGUCUGACGGAGCAACGCCGCGUGAGUGAUGAAGGCUUUCGGGUCGUAAAACUCUGUUGUUAGGGAAGAACAAGUGCUAGUUGAAUAAGCUGGCACCUUGACGGUACCUAACCAGAAAGCCACGGCUAACUACGUGCCAGCAGCCGCGGUAAUACGUAGGUGGCAAGCGUUAUCCGGAAUUAUUGGGCGUAAAGCGCGCGCAGGUGGUUUCUUAAGUCUGAUGUGAAAGCCCACGGCUCAACCGUGGAGGGUCAUUGGAAACUGGGAGACUUGAGUGCAGAAGAGGAAAGUGGAAUUCCAUGUGUAGCGGUGAAAUGCGUAGAGAUAUGGAGGAACACCAGUGGCGAAAGGCGACUUUCUGGUCUGUAACUGA